AGAUCAUUUCAAAAAGGAGUUGUGAGCCGUGAAUCCAGGCACUCGAAACUUUGUUCUUCAUAUUAGCUAUAGUCACUCAAUUGUGCUAUGCUUUCCUGAGGAGAUAUAAGA
rnacentral:snoRNA from 1 species